rnacentral:rRNA from 1 species
AGCUCCAAUAGCGUAUAUUAAAGUUGUUGCAGUUAAAAAGCUCGUAGUUGGAUUUCGGAGCCGACCGGGCGGUCUGUCGAGAGACACGCACUGCACGGUGGCUCUUCCUCUCGGAGGCCCUGGCUGCCCUUAACUGGAGCGGGCAGGGGAUUCGGGACGUUUACUUUGAAAAAAUUAGAGUGUUCAAAGCAGGCCGGUGCUUGGAUACAUUAGCAUGGAAUAAUGGAAUAAGGCUUGGGUCUUAUUUUGUUGGUUUUCGAGACCGAGGUCAUGGUUAAGAGGGACAGUUGGGGGCAUUCGUACUGGGCAGUCAGUGGUAAAAUACUGUGACCUGCUCAAGACGCACUAAUGCGAAAGCAUUUGCCAAGGAUGUUUUCAUUAAUCAAGAACGAAAGUACGC